rnacentral:rRNA from 1 species
GAUGAAUGCUGGCGGCGUGCCUAAUACAUGCAAGUCGAGCGAACAGAUAAGGAGCUUGCUCCUUUGACGUUAGCGGCGGACGGGUGAGUAACACGUGGGUAACCUACCUAUAAGACUGGAAUAACUCCGGGAAACCGGGGCUAAUGCCGGAUAACAUUUAGAACCGCAUGGUUCUAAAGUGAAAGAUGGUUUUACUAUCACUUAUAGAUGGACCCGCGCCGUAUUAGCUAGUUGGUAAGGUAACGGCUUACCAAGGCAACGAUACGUAGCCAACCUGAGAGGGUGAUCGGCCACACUGGAACUGAGACACGGUCCAGACUCCUACGGGAGGCAGCAGUAGGGAAUCUUCCGCAAUGGGCGAAAGCCUGACGGAGCAACGCCGCGUGAGUGAUGAAGGUCUUCGGAUCGUAAAACUCUGUUAUUAGGGAAGAACAAAUGUGUAAGUAACUGUGCACGUCUUGACGGUACCUAAUCAGAAAGCCACGGCUAACUACGUG